AGCAAGGGCCUGAUCCAAAGCCCACUGAAAUCAAUGGGAGUCUUUCCGCUGACUUCAGUGUGCCUUGGAUCAGGCCCUAAACCU
rnacentral:pre_miRNA from 1 species